rnacentral:lncRNA from 1 species
CUUUAUGAAGUGGUGGUUUGUUGUUUUUUUUUUUUUUCGUCAGUUUACUGUUGAUUUAAAGAUUUAUUAUAGUGCCUAAAUUUAUCUUGACCUUAUCAAGUUUAUCAAUCUGAAAAAGCUAGCUGGCAAAAAAUGUCCUGAGUUGUCACAGUGUCACUGACCCAUAUCUUGUCUCUCCUGAAAAAACUAUAAUAACUUUGCUUUUUCAUGUAACAUUUAUGUUCUUUAUAGACUUGUGCUAAAUAGAUGAGUAGAGCACACAUUAUUUCAGUAAUAGUUUAUUGCUAGAGGCUUCUGUGGUAGCAUAAACAGAAUUGAAUGUGUAGUAAAGAGUUGUAGGUACCAGUCCCAACUUUUUUUACUUAGACAAGUCACUCUCCAAGCCUCAUUUUCUUCAAUUCAGAUAUAGAAAUAUUAUGUAACACACAGGAUUCAAAAUCAAAUGAGACUUGUGUGAAAGUACUUUUUGUAGUAUGAAGUGUUAUAUAAUGUUAGUGUCUAUUAUCUUUAUCAGGCUUGGUCAGUCCAACUAGUAAUAAACCAUGUAACUAGUUUAUUACAUAUGUGGCUGAGAGAAAUUUAAUUGGAUGUAAAUACCAGUGUGAUAUGUCAUAAAAUAUGCUAAUCUGUAGCCCAUAUUUAAAGUUAUUUAUAGUAUACUAUAUGUAUCUAUAUUAUAAAUAGGCUUUUGAGGACAAAGAGAACAUCUCCUUAUUAAGCUUUAAGAGUUUCAGAGAGAGUGCAUAUAUAUGAAACAUUAUUUUUUCAUGUUGUCUAGGUGCGGUAGUGCACACCUGUGAGCCUAGCUACUUGGGAAGCUGAGGCAGGAGAAUGGCGUGAACCCGGGAGGCGGAGCUUGCAGUGAGCUGAGAUCCAGCCACUGCACUCCAGCCUGGUGAUAGAGAUCGUCUCAAAAAAAAAAAAAAAGAGAAGACAGCAUCUGAUUUCUACAUUCAUUCAAUAACUGUCUAGUGUCCUGACUAUGAUGUAGGAGAAAUAAAGAUGAAUAUAACUCCCACCUUGUUCUUGAAGACCCUAUAAUCUGGUGGGAGAAGCAGAAUAUAAACCAGAUUGAAAUAAAUACUGUGAUAAAACACACAGGUUAAGAAUGUGCAUGGGAAGAAGUGAUUAACACACUAGUGAAGUACAAAGGGUUUUAUGGAGGACUGAAUAUUUUAACUGCGGCUUGAAGAUUGAGUACAAUUUUGGUAGAGAAGGAAAGAGCAUAUAACUGAAGAAAAAACACAAAAGUAUAUUGUAUGACUUGGGAAAAUAAAGUAGUCUAGAGUGGCUCUGUUAAUAGGGUUUGUAAAGAGGUGUAGUGGUAUAUAAUGCAGGAAAAGUAGGUUAGGGCAAAAAGAAAACAGAUCAGUGCCUGAUAUGAAUUAUACACUGGGCCAAAAGUUUUCAUAUUUGCUAUUUCAUUUAAUUUCUAUAUAGCCAUGCAAAAUAGGUGUUUUGACAUGGGGGGAAAACAGUCUCAGAGAGUUUUACUAAUUUGUUCAAAGUCUCACAGAUAAUAAGUAAUGGAGCUGAAAUUUCAAACCAGGUUGUUAUUUAACUCCAAAGCUGAAGCUAUUUGUAAUUUGGUAACUAUCUCUAAAUUAAAAAAAAAAAAAAAAAAAAA